GACGAACGCUGGCGGCGUGCUUAACACAUGCAAGUCGAACGGAAAGGCCCUGCUUUUGUGGGGUGCUCGAGUGGCGAACGGGUGAGUAACACGUGAGUACCCUGCCCUUGACUUUGGGAUAACUUCAGGAAACUGGGGCUAUUACCGGAUAGGAGCUCCGGCGGCAGGGUGGGGGUUGGAAAGUUUCGGCGGUUGGGGAUGGACUCGCGGCUUAUCAGCUUGUUGGUGGGGUAGUGGCUUACCAAGGCCUUGACGGGUAGCCGGCCUGAGAGGGUGACCGGCCACAGUGGGACUGGGAUGCGGCCCAGACUCAUACGGGAGGCAGCAGUGGGGAAUAUUGCACAAUGGGCGGAAGCCUGGUGCAGCAACGCCGCGUGCGGGAUGACGGCUUUCGGGUUGUAAACCGCUUUCGCCUGUGACGAAGCGUGAGUGACGGAAAUGGGUAAAGAAGCACCGGCUAACUACGU
rnacentral:rRNA from 1 species